GGCAAACGGGUGAGUAACGCGUAAACAACCCUGCCCUUCGGAUGGGAUAACAGCCGGAAACGGCUGCUAUACCGAAUACGAUCUUUUCGUCGCAUGACGGAAAGAGAAAGGAUGGCCUCUAUACAAAGCUAUCGCCGAAGGAGGGGUUUUGCGUCUGAUUAGCUGGUUGGAGGGUAACGGCCCAACAAGGCGAUGAUCAGUAGCCGGUCUGAGAGGAUGAACGGCCACAUUGGGACUGAGACACGGCCCAGACUCCUACGGGAGGCAGCAGUGGGAAUCUUCCGCAAUGGAUGAAAGUCUGACGGAGCAACGCCGCGUGAGUGAAGAAGGUCUUCGGAUUGUAAAGCUCUGUUAUACGGGACGAAAAGACGGAUGCCAACAGUAUCCGUCCGUGACGGUACCGUAAGAGAAAGCCACGGCUAACUACGUGCCAGCAGCCGCGGUAAAU
rnacentral:rRNA from 1 species